GACGAACGCUGGCGGCGUGCUUAGCACAUGCAAGUCGAACGGAAAGGCCCUGCUUUUGUGGGGUGCUCGAGUGGCGAACGGGUGAGUAACACGUGAGUAACCUGCCCUUGACUUUGGGAUAACUUCAGGAAACUGGGGCUAAUACCGGAUAGGAGCUCCUGCUGCAUGGUGGGGGUUGGAAAGUUUCGGCGGUUGGGGAUGGACUCGCGGCUUAUCAGCUUGUUGGUGGGGUAGUGGCUUACCAAGGCUUUGACGGGUAGCCGGCCUGAGAGGGUGACCGGCCACAUUGGGGCUGAGAUACGGCCCAGACUCCUACGGGAGGCAGCAGUGGGGAAUAUUGCACAAUGGGCGGAAGCCUGAUGCAGCAACGCCGCGUGCGGGAUGACGGCCUUCGGGUUGUAAACCGCUUUCGCCUGUGACGAAGCGUGAGUGACGGUAAUGGGUAAAGAAGCACCGGCUAACUACGUGCCAGCCGCCGCCGUAAGAC
rnacentral:rRNA from 1 species